AGCAGGUAAAGGUAUCCGUAAGGGUGCUGUAUAGAGGUGAACUCGCGUCCUAUCAGCUAGUUGGUGGGGUAACGGCCUACCAAGGCGAUUGACGGGUAGCUGGACUGAGAGGUCGGUCAGACACAUGGGGACUGAGACACUGCCCCGACUCCUACGGGAGGCUGCAGUCGAGGAUAUUUAGCAAUGGGCGAAAGCCGACUAUGCGACGCCGCGUGAGGGAUGAGGGUUUUCGGAUUGUAAACCUCUUUCACUGGGGAAGAAUUCAGACGGUACCCAGAGAAGAAGCCACGGCUAACUCCGAGCCAGCAGCCGCGGUAAUACGGAGGUGGCGAGCGUUACUCGGGUUUACUGGGUGUAAAGGGCAGGUAGGCGUCUCGAUAAGUUCCUGGUGAAAUCCUUCUGCUUAACAGAAGAACUGCCUGGAAAACUAUCGAGAUUGAGGCUAGGAGAGGAGAGUGGAACUCCCGGUGUAAGGGUGAAAUCUGUAGAUAUCGGGAGGAACACCAGAAGCGAAGGCGGCUCUCUGGACUAGAUCUGACGCUGAACUGCGAAAGCUAGGGGAGCAAACAGAAUUAGAUACUCUGGUAGUCCUAGCUGUAAACGAUGAGCACUAGGUGUUGGC
rnacentral:rRNA from 1 species